rnacentral:rRNA from 1 species
UGAGCAACCUGCCCCGGACUCUGGGAUAACAGCUGGAAACAGCUGCUAAUACCGGAUACGAGCUGCGAAGGCAUCUUCAGCAGCUGGAAAGAACUUCGGUCUGGGAUGGGCUCGCGGCCUAUCAGCUAGUUGGUGAGGUAAUGGCUCACCAAGGCGUCGACGGGUAGCCGGCCUGGAGAGGGUCGACCGGCCACACGUGGGACUGACGACACCGGCCCAGACUCCGUAACGGGG